CUGCUGAGGACCAAGUGUUCAGAUCUAUGAGAGGUUUUCCAUUUGAACCCCAGAUCCUUCUAAAUAUCCCACAACCAAAUGCCUGUAACCGAUGAACUUGGGGCUCCAGGUCGCCUGUGGGACCCAGAGACCUCAACAUGCCUGCCUCAGGAGCACCAGACUGGAGUGGCAGUGCAGGCCUGGGGCAUGUAGCCACUAACCUGAUACCUGAUACCACUGUGCCAAUGAGGCAACCUGGUAACCUGCUUUUAAGGAACCUCGUCUAUGGAGAGGAAAUAACUGCAGAACAGGCAACCAGUGACUUCUCAAGAGUCGUGUAACAGGAGGACACAUUUAGAAGAAAGCAACAUGGGAAUUCACCGUAGGUAAAGAAUUUAUAAGCAACAGUAAAAUUGAC
rnacentral:lncRNA from 1 species